GUCUGCCCGCUGGUCUUGGGAGUGGCUUCCGUGUUCGGGUUGAUUUGCACGCCUCGGAGAGCACAGCGAGGCACAUUUGGGAAUGAUGGAACACUGCUCUGACUUCUGUCUUCUUUGUUACUGAGCACAGCAGAACCAGCCACUGGGCAGGCUCUCUGGGAACACGUCACAGGCAGCACAAUACCGUAGUAUUCUGUGCAAAGUGUCAGGAUUGCUGAACGGGGGCUGCCGCAUGACAUUGAUAGAAACAAGACGGUAUGGAUUGACAUUUGGCAACAAAAGACCUACAGAGUGAGGCUGUUUUGUUUGCCAACCUGCAGCUAUGUGACUCACGCACAAAAUCAUAAAUGUAGCAGCUGAGGGUUAAUGGAAUAAUAUUUUCAUGAGUCAUGCCUCUUUUGAGAGGCAGUCAUAAAGAUGACACAUGGAAUAUUCCCAGAAGCAGCACUGGUCAUCAACCAGCUAACUGGAAUACAGUGGUGCCCUAAUGUCUUUAGGCAUUAGUAUGUUUUGUGAAUGAGACAUUUCAGUGAGUGAAAUGAGACUGAGGUCAUACAUUUUAGUCCAUCUGUAUGUGA